UACGUAGGUGGCGAGCGUUAUCCGGAAUUAUUGGGCGUAAAGAGCGCGCAGGUGGUUGAUUAAGUCUGAUGUGAAAGCCCACGGCUUAACCGUGGAGGGUCAUUGGAAACUGGUCGACUUGAGUGCAGAAGAGGGAAGUGGAAUUCCAUGUGUAGCGGUGAAAUGCGUAGAGAUAUGGAGGAACACCAGUGGCGAAGGCGGCUUCCUGGCACAAUACUGACGCUCAUGUGCGAAAGCUAGGGCAGCGAACGGGGAUUA
rnacentral:rRNA from 1 species